rnacentral:rRNA from 1 species
GGGUUGUGAGGUUAAGCGACUAAGCGUACACGGUGGAUGCCCUGGCAGUCAGAGGCGAUGAAGGACGUGCUAAUCUGCGAUAAGCGUCGGUAAGGUGAUAUGAACCGUUAUAACCGGCGAUUUCCGAAUGGGGAAACCCAGUGUGUUUCGACACACUAUCAUUAACUGAAUCCAUAGGUUAAUGAGGCGAACCGGGGGAACUGAAACAUCUAAGUACCCCGAGGAAAAGAAAUCAACCGAGAUUCCCCCAGUAGCGGCGAGCGAACGGGGAGCAGCCCAGAGCCUGAAUCAGUGUGUGUGUUAGUGGAAGCGUCUGGAAAGGCGCGCGAUACAGGGUGACAGCCCCGUACACAAAAAUGCACAUGCUGUGAGCUCGAUGAGUAGGGCGGGACACGUGGUAUCCUGUCUGAAUAUGGGGGGACCAUCCUCCAAGGCUAAAUACUCCUGACUGACCGAUAGUGAACCAGUACCGUGAGGGAAAGGCGAAAAGAACCCCGGCGAGGGGAGUGAAAAAGAACCUGAAACCGUGUACGUACAAGCAGUGGGAGCACGCUUAGGCGUGUGACUGCGUACCUUUUGUAUAAUGGGUCAGCGACUUAUAUUCUGUAGCAAGGUUAACCGAAUAGGGGAGCCGAAGGGAAACCGAGUCUUAACUGGGCGUUAAGUUGCAGGGUAUAGACCCGAAACCCGGUGAUCUAGCCAUGGGCAGGUUGAAGGUUGGGUAACACUAACUGGAGGACCGAACCGACUAAUGUUGAAAAAUUAGCGGAUGACUUGUGGCUGGGGGUGAAAGGCCAAUCAAACCGGGAGAUAGCUGGUUCUCCCCGAAAGCUAUUUAGGUAGCGCCUCGUGAAUUCAUCUCCGGGGGUAGAGCACUGUUUCGGCAAGGGGGUCAUCCCGACUUACCAACCCGAUGCAAACUGCGAAUACCGGAGAAUGUUAUCACGGGAGACACACGGCGGGUGCUAACGUCCGUCGUGAAGAGGGAAACAACCCAGACCGCCAGCUAAGGUCCCAAAGUCAUGGUUAAGUGGGAAACGAUGUGGGAAGGCCCAGACAGCCAGGAUGUUGGCUUAGAAGCAGCCAUCAUUUAAAGAAAGCGUAAUAGCUCACUGGUCGAGUCGGCCUGCGCGGAAGAUGUAACGGGGCUAAACCAUGCACCGAAGCUGCGGCAGCGACACUAUGUGUUGUUGGGUAGGGGAGCGUUCUGUAAGCCUGUGAAGGUGUACUGUGAGGUAUGCUGGAGGUAUCAGAAGUGCGAAUGCUGACAUAAGUAACGAUAAAGCGGGUGAAAAGCCCGCUCGCCGGAAGACCAAGGGUUCCUGUCCAACGUUAAUCGGGGCAGGGUGAGUCGACCCCUAAGGCGAGGCCGAAAGGCGUAGUCGAUGGGAAACAGGUUAAUAUUCCUGUACUUGGUGUUACUGCGAAGGGGGGACGGAGAAGGCUAUGUUGGCCGGGCGACGGUUGUCCCGGUUUAAGCGUGUAGGCUGGUUUUCCAGGCAAAUCCGGAAAAUCAAGGCUGAGGCGUGAUGACGAGGCACUACGGUGCUGAAGCAACAAAUGCCCUGCUUCCAGGAAAAGCCUCUAAGCAUCAGGUAACAUCAAAUCGUACCCCAAACCGACACAGGUGGUCAGGUAGAGAAUACCAAGGCGCUUGAGAGAACUCGGGUGAAGGAACUAGGCAAAAUGGUGCCGUAACUUCGGGAGAAGGCACGCUGAUAUGUAGGUGAAGUCCCUCGCGGAUGGAGCUGAAAUCAGUCGAAGAUACCAGCUGGCUGCAACUGUUUAUUAAAAACACAGCACUGUGCAAACACGAAAGUGGACGUAUACGGUGUGACGCCUGCCCGGUGCCGGAAGGUUAAUUGAUGGGGUCAGCGCAAGCGAAGCUCUUGAUCGAAGCCCCGGUAAACGGCGGCCGUAACUAUAACGGUCCUAAGGUAGCGAAAUUCCUUGUCGGGUAAGUUCCGACCUGCACGAAUGGCGUAAUGAUGGCCAGGCUGUCUCCACCCGAGACUCAGUGAAAUUGAACUCGCUGUGAAGAUGCAGUGUACCCGCGGCAAGACGGAAAGACCCCGUGAACCUUUACUAUAGCUUGACACUGAACAUUGAGCCUUGAUGUGUAGGAUAGGUGGGAGGCUUUGAAGUGUGGACGCCAGUCUGCAUGGAGCCGACCUUGAAAUACCACCCUUUAAUGUUUGAUGUUCUAACGUUGACCCGUGAUCCGGGUUGCGGACAGUGUCUGGUGGGUAGUUUGACUGGGGCGGUCUCCUCCUAAAGAGUAACGGAGGAGCACGAAGGUUGGCUAAUCCUGGUCGGACAUCAGGAGGUUAGUGCAAUGGCAUAAGCCAGCUUGACUGCGAGCGUGACGGCGCGAGCAGGUGCGAAAGCAGGUCAUAGUGAUCCGGUGGUUCUGAAUGGAAGGGCCAUCGCUCAACGGAUAAAAGGUACUCCGGGGAUAACAGGCUGAUACCGCCCAAGAGUUCAUAUCGACGGCGGUGUUUGGCACCUCGAUGUCGGCUCAUCACAUCCUGGGGCUGAAGUAGGUCCCAAGGGUAUGGCUGUUCGCCAUUUAAAGUGGUACGCGAGCUGGGUUUAGAACGUCGUGAGACAGUUCGGUCCCUAUCUGCCGUGGGCGCUGGAGAACUGAGGGGGGCUGCUCCUAGUACGAGAGGACCGGAGUGGACGCAUCACUGGUGUUCGGGUUGUCAUGCCAAUGGCACUGCCCGGUAGCUAAAUGCGGAAGAGAUAAGUGCUGAAAGCAUCUAAGCACGAAACUUGCCCCGAGAUGAGUUCUCCCUGACCCUUUAAGGGUCCUGAAGGAACGUUGAAGACGACGACGUUGAUAGGCCGGGUGUGUAAGCGCAGCGAUGCGUUGAGCUAACCGGUACUAAUGAACCGUGAGGCUUAACCUUACAACGCCGAAG